GACGUGGCCGAGUGGUUAAGGCGUUGGACUGCUAAUCCAAUGCACUUUGUGCGCGUGAGUUCGAGUCUCACCGUCG
rnacentral:tRNA from 1 species